CCCUAGCCGCACAUAUGCUUCCCUGAAUUCCUGCUUCAGAGACAGAGUGAGAGGCUCGUGAUCUCGUCUCCUCUCCUCUCCUCUCCACUCCUCCUCAAAGCCCAAGCCAUUAGUCCCUCUCCUUCUCAAACACCGCUGACCGCCGAUUGCCGACCGCCGACCACCGCCUCCCACCUUCUGGGUCCCUCAGCGUUGGAGUCUCGUCUCGUCUCCUCUCCACUCCUCCUCAAAGUUCAAACCCUCAGCCCCUUCUGUCUCCUUCCCAAACACCGCCGACCGCCGACCGCCGCCUCCCACGACCCAGCGCCGCCUCCCACCUCCUGAGUGGCUCGGUCUCUCACUGGUGGUCCCGAGCUCACCGUCGCCGGUCGUCGUCUUCUCCUCUUCACCGUUCGUCCGCCAAAUCGCCGGUUUUCACUAUGGUUUCUGCGUCGAGGGAUCCAAGGACUGAGGAGGAACAUAAUAUUUUUACUUGGAUUACAAAAGUUGGGCAAAGGUGAUUGGCGUGGAAUUGCAAGGAACUAUGUUAUAUCAAGGACCUCUACUCAAGUGGCCAGUCACGCUCAAAAGUAUUUUAUCAGGCAAAACAAUGUGUCUAAACGAAAAAGAUGCUCCAGCUUGUUUGACAUUGUUGCAGAUGAAGUUUUUACUCUUGUCUGCAAUUACUAUCCAUGAAAUAAUUGUUUUUUUUAUUUUAUUUUGCAUCAAAUGAACAUUUCUGCCACAUAAUCUACUCAUGUUCAUUGAUAAAAUUACCCAAUUGUUUUUAUUUCUUUAAUAUUGUUAAUAUCUUUGUUGUUGUUAAUGUUGUUAAUGUCUUUGGAGAUAAGGAACAUGUUAAUGUCUUUGUUGUUAAUGCUUUGGAGACAAGGAACAUGAUGAUUGAUAUGGUUUUUUCAUUUUUUCCCCAA